AAUAUUGGACAAUGGGGGCAACCCUGAUCCAGCCAUGCCGCGUGUGUGAAGAAGGUCUUCGGAUUGUAAAGCACUUUAAGUUGGGAGGAAGGGCUUUAGGUUAAUACCCUGAAGUUUUGACGUUACCAACAGAAUAAGCACCGGCUAACUCUGUGCCAGCAGCCGCGGGUAUACAGAGGGUGCAAGCGUUAAUCGGAAUUACUUGGCUUAAAGCGGGGAUAGGUGGUUCAGUAAGAUGGGUGUGAAAUCCCCGGGCGUAACCUGGGAACUGCUUUCAUAACUGCUGAGCUAGAGUACGGUAGAGGGUAGUGGAAUUUCCUGUGUAGCGGUGAAAUGCGUAGAUAUAGGAAGGAAAACCAGUGGCGAAGGCGACUACCUGGACUGAUACUGACACUGAGGUGCGAAAGCGUGGGGAGCAAA
rnacentral:rRNA from 1 species